CUCUGCUCACCAUGGCCAUUAAGGAGCUUAAACUGGAAGGAAGAAGUGCUGUGUUGGUGAUUUCUACAGUAUGUCAGGUAGAAAAGGCCAUAUGUAUGCAGCCCUAGGGCCUUAGCUGGCUUGUACUCAAUGUCUGGCCUCCGGAUCAGAACUGGCCCUUCGGUUCCUGACGCCAAGAAUGAUUGGCGCCUCCUCUUCUCGAGUCAGACCAGGCUGGCCCCUUGGAAUGGAUCAGGAGGGAAGAGGAAUAUGCAGACGAUUUGGCCUCUGAGAUCAUGAGAUACAGACUUGGACCUUGUGAAUCUCCAAGACGGUGAAUUUGAAUGUUGCAUUUGAGGAUAUCCCUUUUUGUGGAGGAAGGGGAGCACUGGAAAAAUCUGAUUAUUUUCCUUUCUCCGAUGCACAGUCACUCUGGUAAAUACAUACAGAUCCCUUGGGGGAUGGCUAAGAAAAUUACAUUCUAGCAUAAUUUUAGUCAUACAAUUUGGGAGAACCUGCCCUGGUAUUUCUGAGUUACAAAUAUUUUAACACAUUCCAUUUUCAUUUUACUUCCCCUCCAUGAUUGCUUUAUAUAAUACUUUACAUCUUCCCUUCUUCUGUGUUAGGUUAGUAAUGUAUUACAAAUUUAUAUUGUUAGACAUACACAUCUAAGUCGUCACUUUUCCUGUGAUAGU